rnacentral:lncRNA from 1 species
AUGAAGCAGCUGCUGCUGCUGCUGCUGCUGCUGCUGCUGCUGCUGCUGCUGCUGCUGCUGCUGCUGCUGCUGCUGUGUUUGGGACUAACCCUAGUCUGUGUCCAUGCAGAAGAAGCUAGGUCUAUGUGAAGGAACUUUAAUAUAGAAAAAAUUAAUGGGGAAUGGUACACUAUUAUCCUGGCUUCUGACAAAAGAGAAAAGAUAGAAGAACAUGGCAGCAUGAGACUUUUUGUGGAGCACAUUCAUGUCUUGGAGAAUUCCUUAGGUUUUAAACUCCAUACUGUUAUAGAUUAAGAGUGCUCCAAAGUAUUUUUAGUUGGUGACAAUACAGAAAAGGCUGGUAAUAUUCUGUGACAUAUGAUGGAUUCAAUACAUUUACUAUACUGAAGACAGAAUAUGAUAAUUAUAUUAUGUUUCAUCUCAUUAAUGAAAUGAAUGGGGAAACCUUCCAGCUGAUGUUGCUUUAUGACCUAGAACCGGAUUUGAGGUCAGACAUCAAGGAAGAAUUUGCAAAACUAUUUGAGGAGCAUGGAAUCGUUAGAGAAAAUAGCAUUGACCUAUCUAAUGCCAAUCACUGUCUCCAGGCCCUAGAAUGA